rnacentral:rRNA from 1 species
GGGACACGUGGUAUCCUGUCUGAAUAUGGGGGGACCAUCCUCCAAGGCUAAAUACUCCUGACUGACCGAUAGUGAACCAGUACCGUGAGGGAAAGGCGAAAAGAACCCCGGCGAGGGGAGUGAAAAAGAACCUGAAACCGUGUACGUACAAGCAGUGGGAGCACGCUUAGGCGUGUGACUGCGUACCUUUUGUAUAAUGGGUCAGCGACUUAUAUUCUGUAGCAAGGUUAACCGAAUAGGGGAGCCGAAGGGAAACCGAGUCUUAACUGGGCGUUAAGUUGCAGGGUAUAGACCCGAAACCCGGUGAUCUAGCCAUGGGCAGGUUGAAGGUUGGGUAACACUAACUGGAGGACCGAACCGACUAAUGUUGAAAAAUUAGCGGAUGACUUGUGGCUGGGGGUGAAAGGCCAAUCAAACCGGGAGAUAGCUGGUUCUCCCCGAAAGCUAUUUAGGUAGCGCCUCGUGAAUUCAUCUCCGGGGGUAGAGCACUGUUUCGGCAAGGGGGUCAUCCCGACUUACCAACCCGAUGCAAACUGCGAAUACCGGAGAAUGUUAUCACGGGAGACACACGGCGGGUGCUAACGUCCGUCGUGAAGAGGGAAACAACCCAGACCGCCAGCUAAGGUCCCAAAGUCAUGGUUAAGUGGGAAACGAUGUGGGAAGGCCCAGACAGCCAGGAUGUUGGCUUAGAAGCAGCCAUCAUUUAAAGAAAGCGUAAUAGCUCACUGGUCGAGUCGGCCUGCGCGGAAGAUGUAACGGGGCUAAACCAUGCACCGAAGCUGCGGCAGCGACGCUGAUGCGUUGUUGGGUAGGGGAGCGUUCUGUAAGCCUGCGAAGGUGUGCUGUGAGGCAUGCUGGAGG